GAUGAACGCUGGCGGCGUGCCUAAUACAUGCAAGUCGAGCGAAGCGGGGACGGGGGAGUAACACGUGGAAAAACUCCUAUAAGAAUGGGAUAAAGGCGGGAAACAGGAGCUAAACGGGCUACUUAUCGAUGGAUCCGCGCUGCAUUAGCGAGUUGGUAAGGUAACGGCUUACCAAGGCAACGAUGCAUAGCCGACCUGCGCGGGGGAUCGGCCACACUGGCACGGAGACACGGCCCAGACUCCUACGGUGGGCAGCAGUAGUGAAUCUUCCGCAAUGGUCGAAAGCCUGACGGAGCAACGCCGCGUGAGUGAUGAAGGUCUUCGGAUCGUAAAACUCUGUUAUUAGAGAAGCGGUGCCUAAUCAGAAAGCCACGGCUAACUACGUGCCAGCAGCCGCGGUAAUUC
rnacentral:rRNA from 1 species